rnacentral:rRNA from 1 species
GACGGAGGGUGCUAGCGUUGUUCGGAAUUACUGGGCGUAAAGCGAGUGUAGGUGGUUGUCCAAGUUGGAUGUGAAAGCCUUGAGCUCAACUCAAGAAAUGCAUUCAGGACUGGAUGACUAGAGGACCGGAGAGGAUAGUGGAAUUCCCAGUGUAGUGGUGAAAUACGUAGAGAUUGGGAAGAACACCAGUGGCGAAGGCGGCUAUCUGGACGGUUUCUGACACUAAGACUCGAAAGCGUGGGGAGCAAACAGG